rnacentral:rRNA from 1 species
UACGUAGGGAGCAAGCGUUAUCCGGAAUUAUUGGGUGUAAAGGGUGCGUAGACGGGAAUACAAGUUGGUUGUGAAAUCCCUUGGCUUAACUGAGGAACUGCAACCGAAACUAUAUUUCUUGAGUGCAGGAGAGGAAAGCGGAAUUCCUAGUGUAGCGGUGAAAUGCGUAGAUAUUAGGAGGAACACCGGUGGCGAAGGCGGCUUUCUGGACUGUAACUGACGUUGAGGCACGAAAGUGUGGGGAGCAAAC